rnacentral:lncRNA from 1 species
GAUAGUAUUUGCAUAACUAUGUUGUAGAUCAAUAGCUCGCGAUGUAGCUCCCCGUUUACUUUUGAUAUGUUCCUAGAGAAAAAUAAGUUGAAAGAUGAUAGUGUGACGCCCGGAUAAUUAGGCUACAGUAAUCCCCCACUAAUGAUGCCACAUCACCGCAGUUACUGUUGAUAAUCCCGCGUUAGUUCAAAAACCAAUUCAAAUUCAAAAUUGAAUAAAAGGCAAACAUCAAAGUUUUCAAAAUAUUAAACUAAAAUGUUCGGAGUGUGCAAAUAAUUGCUUAGGUGUUUAUGGUGAAGGACCCGUGCUUUUAUAAAAGGCCUAAAUAUUUUUAAUGAAAUAAAACAGAAGAGAAAAUAAAUAAAAGAAAAGGAAAAAAGGAAAAACAAAACUAACAAAAGAAAAGAAAAGAAACCCCCCCACUGGGCCAGCCGGCACGGCUGCUGGCCAGCCCACUGGCCCCUCAGGCCCAACCGGCCAUCCCCAUAACCCCCCACGCCCCCGAAACCCUAACCCCCACGCACCACUCCCCCGUGGCCCCAAUCCCCCCACUUUCCCCCCUCCUGAUCCAAAUNNNNNNNNNNNNNNNNNNNNNNNNNNNNNNNNNNNNNNNNNNNNNNNNNNNNNNNNNNNNNNNNNNNNNNNNNNNNNNNNNNNNNNNNNNNNNNNNNNNNNNNNNNNNNNNNNNNNNNNNNNNNNNNNNNNNNNNNNNNNNNNNNNNNNNNNNNNNNNNNNNNNNNNNNNNNNNNNNNNNNNNNNNNNNNNNNNNNNNNNNNNNNNNNNNNNNNNNNNNNNNNNNNNNNNNNNNNNNNNNNNNNNNNNNNNNNNNNNNNNNNNNNNNNNNNNNNNNNNNNNNNNNNNNNNNNNNNNNNNNNNNNNNNNNNNNNNNNNNNNNNNNNNNNNNNNNNNNNNNNNNNNNNNNNNNNNNNNNNNNNNNNNNNNNNNNNNNNNNNNNNNNNNNNNNNNNNNNNNNNNNNNNNNNNNNNNNNNNNNNNNNNNNNNNNNNNNNNNNNNNNNNNNNNNNNNNNNNNNNNNNNNNNNNNNNNNNNNNNNNNNNNNNNNNNNNNNNNNNNNNNNNCGCCCGCGGCCUUCCGCUCGCCCAGUUCCUGUUGAGCUCCGGUCGGCCCCGAGCCCCUCGCAGCUUGCCCCUCCUACAGCGGCCGCCGGCGCCCGCCACUCCCUUUGGCCAUUGCUGCCGCGCCACCCCGCCUCCACCGCUGCUCAUCGCGCGCCCCGCUGCUCGCCCGUCGCCCCGCCGUGGCCACGGCCUCGUCCACCUCAACCGCCCCCACUCGUCGCUCGUCGUCUCCCCGUCCCGUGGCGGCCCUGCUGCGUCACGCCGGCACGCGGCCCCGGCCCCCCCUGCGCCGCUGCGGCUGCUCGUCGCUGAGGCCGUCGGUGCCCAACGCCGUUUUCCUCCCUGUCGAUGAGGGGCGCACGCCCAGCGCCCGCUAACCGCCCCGUUAAGGCCUAUGGGCCAAUGACAUAGGGGCCCAGCCCCUCAAACAUUUUAAAAGAAAAAAGGAAUUAAGAAGAAUUUAAAAUAAAUAACUAAAUCAAUUGUGUUUAAUUAAUCUAAUAUCUAAUUAACAUAAUUAACUAAUGUUAAUUAACUUAACUAAUCUGUUAACUAAACUAAUUAACCUGGUUAGUUAGUUAACAGUCAUUGACAUGCGGGACCCACAUGUCAGCGACCCAGUCAACACCUCUAUUGACUGCUGACGUCAUGAUGAUGUCAGCAUGCACUGUUCUGGAUAAUGUUGAAUUAAAUUAAUUAAAUAAAUUAUAAAAAUGUUUUAAAACUUUUGAAAAACAUUUAAAAUAAACCGUAGCUCAGAUGAAAAUACUUUCUACAUGAAAGUUGCUCAGAACGACGAGACAAAUCCGGAUAUGUCGGCGUUCUGGGAACGGGAGUCCCCAGACUUGCCUGCCUGCGGCCCACAACGUGGCUAAGCCAGCAGGCUGUACGGCCCAUCUUCAUCAACAAGGCAUCCAAGACCCUCGCGAGGGUCCAAGCCUCGCGAGGCGGACGACGCAAGACCUCCUGUGGAGUGGCCUAGCCAGGCAGUCUCACGAGGAGCGGAGAUAUCAAGGCGGGGAAAACCUCACGAGGCUCUCGUGACAUGAGCCAUGACGAAUGACACCAGGCGGGCGCCAGCGCGCGCAGCGUCCUUAUUUCCUCUUUGGUGCUAAGGAGGCCACCGCAGGCGAAGAGUACCGAGGCAUCAGGCAAAGGUUGUUAUAUUGGUGCAAUGAGACCAAGACCAGGAGGACGGCAAGACGGAUGUCAUCAUGGAUCCCAAGACGGCGUCACCACCAGAGCUUUUCGCAGGCGAAGACCGCUUUUGUCAAGAUAGCUUGUACUAGCUGUCCCCCUUCAAAUUUGCCCGCCGUUGUUGGCUCCCUUCCCGCUCGAUAUUUGGGAAGAGGACCAGGGCCUAUAUAAGUAGAGCUAGCCACCAUAGUAGGGGCAUCUCAUCUUAGCCUGAUCCAACCCGAUCGAGAGCCUACCCUAGCCACAAGAACACCUCAACCUCGGGAGGCUAUUCUUCCCUUGUACUGUUCAUCAUCAGCCCUAGAGGCAAUCCACCACCACCACACUGGAGUAGGGUAUUACACCACAACGAUGGCCCAAACCAGUAUAAACCUCGUGUCUUUCUGUGUUGCGAGUUCGUCGAGUUCGUCCGCGAGAUCUUAGCGAGCUAGGGCGUAGAUCGGUAGGAGGGAAAGACUUCGCGCGCACCCCAGUGUUCGAACCUUAAGGGUUUGCCGGAACCCCACAUCCGACAUUUGGCGCGCCAGGUAGGGGUGCGCUGGAGCUUCUUCUCCACCAACCAGCUCGCCGACACUCCCCAGCCAUGAUGUCCGGCGACUCAAGGGCCCGCUCUGACCGCUGGGCAGCCUGGCCAGCCCGGGCAGCGUCGCCUGCCCAUGAAGAUCUCGACCCUACACUCCAGGCGGCGCGAGCGCUGCCAAACCCCGCCGAACGUGGGCAGCGCGGCCAGGCGCCGUCCACCCUCACCCCACGGCAAGUACGGGCCGCCGCAAGAGCAGCGAGCCACGCCGCAGCAACGGCGCCGCACUCACGGCGGGAGCAAGCAAACAUACGGGCAGCGCUCACCGUGGCAAGGGAGCUGCUGCGAUGCAGGCUAAUGGAAAGCGGCUAGGAUACACUUCUGGAGCGUGUUGCCGAGCUGCUGGACGCAGCGGCGUCGGGAGCACCACCCUUCUGCUAUCGACUUCCUCCUCAGGCCACUGCAGGGCUUCGCGGUGAACCUCACCACAUCCGCGCGCCAUCAACUAUGCCCGAGGCUUCAUCAACAUCAGCACGGCCAACGACGUAGGGGGCUCCGACUCCGCCAUGCCGCCCGCGACAAGCACGCGCACAAGCGUUGCCCUCCAUGGUCCCAGCCAGAUGCCACGCUAUCAUCCUCAGGACGCCACCCUGGGCCGAGCAACAUGGAGUGUGGGGCACCACGGCAAGGUGUUUGGGGUGACGGCCUCGGAAGCCUACGUGCCCCGCAUGAUGGACCAAGAGUACGCACCAGAGGACGACCCCGGCUCAUUCAUUGGAGAAGAUUGGGGAGAGGGGCGCUAGGAGCCGAAGCCUUCCAAGAACCAACAGAGAACCACGAUGGUCGCGCCGGCAACGGCAACUACAGGGUACCGCUAAUCUGUCCGGAACAGGCUUAUGCUAACCAUGGGCUGCAGAUGAAUCAGGUUGCAGCGUCGAUCGACAACCCUGGCACGGCGGCACCUGUCCCAACCAGGGAGACACGCUGGGGGCCGCCGGGAGGGAGUCAGGAGCAAGGCCCCUCUCCGCGGCGCGCGACGCCUGUCGACACCCGGAGGUAGGCCCUCUGCCGGGGAGGCCUCGACGACCCUUCCCCCGGCAGAGGACCUGUCGUCGCCGGGGCACCGCUGGCGUCCUCUUUCCCUCCUUUGUGUCGUCCCGGUGACCGGUCGUCUCAAAGGAGGUCAAGGGUGGCGCAAGGCGGGGCCCUCGUCUGGUGAUAUGAAGCAAGGCCGGUACCUGUGAAGAAGGCCCGGUGCCUGUGAAGCUCGCCGCCCGUGACACUCUCACGUAAUAAUGAGUUGGGGCUGUACACGCCCCGGUGUCUCAGGGGUGCCGGCCUCAGGCCCUGGGGCUCCCUCCCACGCCUAGUGGCAGCACCUAACUUCACGCUGGUGAGAAGACUUGAAGACCAGAAGACUAGACUACGUGCCGGACGCGGCCUUUUUGCUUUGGAUAUCUCUCUUUGUAGCUUUGCUUUCUGUAUCUGGAUUUGAGUUGAAGCUGAGUUUUAUCGAUGCGCGUGGGGGGAGCCUUUUCUCGUUCGAGCAAUUUCUUGCCUUCUGGAUCUCGUUUUGCCUGGGACUCAUGUUCGUCGCCUUCCCCUCACGAGCUCCUCGCGAGCGGGGCAGCGCGAAGCGCGCACGCCCAGUGCGCGCUAGCACUACAAGUGGUGCUCACCUCUUGUGGGGCCCCUUCUGACGGGGCGACGAGCUCCGCAGGGUUCUCAGAAACUCGACGCGCCACGACCCAGCUCAAAGCUGGCGCUGGCAAAGGUAAAUCACGACAAAGAACUCGCAUCCAGAUUCACGAGGACACAAACUCACAUCGCAUAGGAGAGUAAAAACUGCAAUUUGCUUACAUGAGGGGCUCCCCCUCCCAAAAUGCUCUUACAAGUUUCCCAAGGGCCAUGCCCGAGCUUCGUGUGCAGGAUGAAACGACAGGAGAACAUGGGAUCAGCCCAAAAUGUCGCUCGCUACAUCACCCGCGGAUGCGUCACUCGCGUCAUCAUCGUCUUCAUCGGCAACGUCGCCACUGCCGGCGACGCCCCCGACGCCGUCGUCAACCACGUCGCCGUCGUCUGCGGCGACCACCACCCCGUCAUCUUCUGUAGUGAAGGCCCUGACCAACGCGUCCACGUUGUCUUCAACCCAACGCGCCAGGUCAUCCCGGACGACCGUUGGAACGGGAGCGAUGGUGGCGUCGAAAUCAAAGUUGGGGUCGGCAUUCAGAAGGUGGCUGAAGACACGGGAGAAAGCGCGCUCAAGCAGGCCACACCCCCUUUCCUCCACAAGCUGUCGAGCUUUGGCAGAUCGAGCCUCUAGGUGCGUCACCACCUCAGUGAAGAAGAUCAAAUGGCUGGCAUAGUCAUUCGAGUGAGGGGCCGGCACCUCCACAUCGCAAAUAUGGCCCAGGGCGGUGUUGGCCCUGUUCCGAAGAUCCUGAAGCAUAGGAGCAUGCUCGCGCUCCAGCGUUCGUCGUUGGAGCACUUCCUUCCUCCGUGUUCUGCCAUGCAACGGCCUCAGCGUCAUCAACCCACCUACGAAGGGAGCUCAGCUCGGCGCGGGCGGAGACCAAGUCCGCCUGUGCCGUAACCAGGGCGGCAGCCAUGGCCUCCGCGUGCCUCUCAGCCUCAUCCAGCCUGGGCCUGAGGGCAGCGGCCCUACCCGCAUCCUCCGUACCCGCGAGCUUCAGCUUCAGGUCGUACCUACCCUCCAGGUCCGCGCGAACCUCGGCCACCCGGCGAUUCACCUCCUCCUCGACUCCGGCCUCGCGAGCCCUGACGACAUCUUCUGCUUGAGCAACUUGACGUUCCCUCGUCUCCAGUCGCUCGAGCUAGAGGCUGUGCUCCACGGCUUCCAGGGCUAGCGUCUCACCGCGCUUCCGGACCUCCUCAUCCUCCGCCGGUGUCCCCCUCAGCGAUGCAAGAGCGGCCCUGCGCGCCUCCACCUGCUGCUCAAGGGAUGUGCUCCAGGCCUGGAGCUCCCACGCGCGUUCCUCCUCAGCCUCGCAACGGCGGUCAGCCUCGCGAGCCUCUUCCAAGGCUCACGAGCGGGCUUCAUGGGCGAUCUUGAGGGACGCCUCGGCCUUCGCAUUCUCAAGGUCGCGCUGAUAGCGACCGAGGUUGAUGGCCACCCUCAGCUUGCGCAGCUCCUCCACCAGCCGGAGACCCUCGGCCUCAAGGCGCGAGUCAACACCCGCGAGCUCUUCACCAAGUUGGCUCAUCGCGCCCAUCGCCUCCUGGAAGAGCUCGUGCCGAACCACGCUCCGCCCGCGCUCGAGCUCGAACGCUCGACCCUCCUCGUCCUCCACCUCGGGGGCUGCGGGCGGGGCGCCAAGCGGCGCACCACCCCUCGGCAGGGGGCUAGGGGCUGACGCCGCACCUAACGCCAGCCCGUCCUCACGAGAAACCCAAGCUGGCUGAGGCUCACUGCUUGAAGAGGAACCAAAGAUCGAAGCCAGCCAGCUGCUGCCUAUGAGCGAAGGAGGGGCCUUGGGCACGCCCGCCAAGCUCCACACCAGACCCUGAGGGAGGGAUGGCCAAGCUGCGGGCUCCGUGCGCCGCGGAGGCAGAGAUGCUCCCCCGAUUGACCCAGCUCCAAGGGCGGUAGGAUGACCAGGAACGCUCAAGGCGGAUGGGGGAGUUGAUGAAGGAGGAGGCCGCUUCUCGGGAGACGCAACAACUUCAACGGAAGGAGCCCUGGAGAACUGAUGUCAGGACAAGAAGGCAACACGUAAGAAGCUGUGACAACAAGGUACUUACGCGUCAAUGACGAUGUACUUUCGCCGCUUCAACGGCCCGAAGAUGCUGCUACCGCUAGGGGAUCCUUUCCUCUUGCGGAGCUCCCCGAAGUCCACACAAAGACGACCGAAAUGCUGGACGUGACGGCCGGUGCACAGAGGGGCCGAAGAAGUGCCUGGAAGGAUAUCUUCAGGGGUGCCCGGUUGCGGCAAACAGCCGGGCACCGUCUCACCACAACCUCCCGAGGCCCGUGGAGCCUUGGCCUCGGGAGCCGCAUGCUGCGUAAUCGGCGCCUCAGGAGGGGGGUCGUAGGCCCCCGAAGACGACGCCCCAGGAUCACCAUUCGGCAUGUGUUCCUCGGGACUUGGGCCACCGGCCCCCAUCGGAGCUCGCUCUCCCGAACCUUCACCUGUGGCGAGCUUGGCGCCGGCAGUGAAGAAGGGAACCACGACGACGGGUUCUCGCGGGGCCCCACCAAUCCAAUCGGUCGCAACCCCCAUUCGUCAAAGGAAGGCAUGCUCGCUGCAAACUCAUCCUUGUUCUUGCAGCGAUACAGCAGGCAAUUCUUCCCAGGCAUUUCGGCCGACAAGGGGACACCCGUCAAGACCUUGAGCACUGUUUGCCGCGUCCCAAGGGGGAGCCCAGACUCCUGGAACCUCAUGUGGUCCUGACUGUUGAGCAAGGUCCACAUUGGGCGAGAGUGGCGCUGAAGCGGAGCAACCCGGCAUUUGAAGAACUCCUUCACCACCAUCGGCGCGGUCACGCCGCGGUCCUUCAGCAGCCUCAGCCUGGCCCAGACAAGAGCAGGGCGGGGGCUCGAGAGCUUCUGGUGGCUCCAGCCGGAGUUUGAAACAGCAGGCCCCGUCGGGAGACGAAGCAGGGGGCUGAGCAUGCCAGCAUCGACAAACACCCGUCGCGUACGAAACUCGCUCGUGGAUGAAGGGAGCACGAAGUCAAUCCCCGCGCCCGCGGUCGUAGCCACGGCCUGGAAGCUCAUGCACCCGAGCAUUGCAGAGGGUCGGCCAGGUGCAAUGAGAAGAAGUGACGGAAGAGGGCCACCGAAGGAGCGAUGCCCACCAUGGCUUCGCACACGAAGGCGAAGACAGCAAGAAGAGUCACCGAUUGGGGGUCAAGAUGCAGCAUGUGGAUCUGGUAAUGCUCUAGCACCGCGUUGAGGAAGGCAGAGAAGGGAGGAAUCAGGCCAGCCCAGAGGGCAUCUAUGAAGAUUGGGACCUCAGUGGCUGCCCGAGCCAUGCGAGUGCGAGACGCAGGCCAAGCCACCGUCUCUCCCCACUCGUUGAAGCUGGAAGCGAGCAUCAGACGCACCUUGUCCAUGGCCUCGUUGUUGAGCACCCGGGAUCGGCCUAGCGCUGGCUCGACAGCUGGAGGUGCGCCUUACGGAGACAUCGGCUUCUUCCCCUUGUCCGCUUGUUUUGGCGCCAUGGCAACGAAGCAGGGGGAGGGCAGGUCAGAUCGGAGAAGGGAAGCAGAGUCUCAAGGAAGCAGGGGGAUUGGGGAAGCGAGGCGCAGGCGACGGAGGAAUAACUGUGUAGGCCACGGGGGCCGCAUGGGGAAGCGGAGUCGCCCACGUCCAAUCAACCACCACGCGUCAACCGAGGCCGCGGGCUUUUGGGGCCCGCGGUGCUCCGAACUUGACCCUUGACUUCACCGCGAAGCCAAGCCAGAGUGCACCUUGGGCCCGGGGGCUACUGUUGGCGUUCUGGGAACGGGGGUCCCCAGACUUGCCUGCCUGCGGCCCACAGCGUGGCUAAGCCAGCAGGCCGUACGGCCCAUCUUCAUCAACAAAGCAUCCAAGACCCUCACGAGGGUCCAAGCCUCGCGAGGCGGACGAUGCAAGACCACCUCUGGAGUGGCCUAGCCAGGCAGGCUCACGAGGAGCGGAGAUAUCAAGGCGGGGCAAACCUCAUGAGGCUCUCGUGACGUGAGCCAUGACGAACGACACCAGGCGGGCGCCAGGCAGGCACCAGCGCGCAUAGCGUCCUUAUUUCCUCUUUGGUGCUAAGGAGGCCAACGCAGGCGAAGAGUACCGAGGCAUCAGGCUAAGGUGGCUAUAUUGGUGCAACAAGACCAAGACCAGGAGGACGGCAAGACGGAGGUCAUCAUGGAGCCCAAGACGGCGUCACCACCAGAGCUUUUCGCAGGCGAAGACCGCUUUUGUCAGGAUAGCUUGUACUAGCUGUCCCCCUUCAAAUUUGCCCGCCGUUGUUGGAUCCCUUCCCACUCGAUAUUUAGGAAGAGGACCAGGGCCUACAUAAGUAGAGCUAGCCACCAUAGUAGGGGCAUCUCAUCUUAGCCUGAUCCAACCCGAUCGAGAGCCUACCCUAGCCACAAGAACACCUCAACCUCGGGAGGCUGUUCUUCCCUUGUAUUGUUCAUCAUCAGCCCUAGAGGCAAUCCACCACCACCACACUUGAGUAAGGUAUUACACCACAAUGGUGGCCCGAACCAGUAUAAACCUCAUGUCUUUCUAUGUUGCGAGUUCGUCCGCGAGAUCUUAGCGAGCUAGGGCGUAGAUCGGUAGGAGGGAAAGACUUCGUGCGCACCCCAGUGUUCGAACCUUAAGGGUUUGCCGAAACCCCACAUCUGACAGGAUACGCAGCCCGUUCGUCCGCCACACAUCCCUAUCCUAUCGAACUCACAACUUUCCCCCUCCGGUUCAUCUGUCCGAAAACGCGAAACACCGGGAAUACUUUCCCGGAUGUUUCCCCCCUUCGCCGGUAUCACCUACUACCGCGAUUGGGCACGCCUAGCAUCACGCUUUGUCAUGUCAUGCAUCAUCAUGCAUUUGUUUGCAUUGUAUUUAUUGUUUCUUCCCCCUCUUCUCUCGCUAGACACCGAGACCGACGCCACUGCUACCCCGUACGACUACGGUGUUGACGAUCCCUCCUUCUCGGCAGAGCUUCCAGGCAAGCCCCCCCCCCUUGAUCACCAUAUAUCGCCUAUUCUACUCUCUACUACUUGCAUUAGAGUAGUGUAGCAUGUUACUGCUUUCCGUUAAUCCUAUCCUGAUGCAUAGCCUGUCCUUGCUACUACUGUUGUUACCUUUACCUGCAAUCCUACAUGCUUAGUAUAGGAUGCUGUAUUUCCAUUUGUGGUCCUACAUUCUUGUCUGUCUGCCUUGCUAUACUAUCGGGCCGUGAUCACUCCGGAGGUGAUCACGGGUAUAUACUUAUAUACUUUACAUGAUACCUGUGGUGACUAAAGUUGGGUCGGCUCGAGGAGUACCCGCGAGUGGAUCUUUGUGGCGGAGCGACAGGGCAGGUUGAGACCACCUAGGCGAGAGGUGGGCCUGGCCCUAGUCGGCGUUCACGGUUAUUUCAAAAUAACACGCUUAACGAGUUCUUGGUAUUUGAUCCGAGUCUGGCUACUGGCCUAUACGCACUAACCAACUACGCGAGAACAGUUAUGGGCACUCGGCGUCGUGAUAUCAGCCGAAGCCUUCGUGACAUCAGCAACCGAGCGGCGCGCGCUGGAUUGGACUGGAACGCCUGCUAGGCUAGGUCUGCUUCCGGCCGCCCUCGCAACAUGCAGGUGUGCAAUGGGCGAUGGGCCCAGACCCCUGCGCCAUUGGAUUUAGACCGGCGUGCUGAACUCUCUAUUGUGCCUAGGUGGGGCUGCGAUGUGUUGAUCUUCUGAGGCCGGGCAUGACCCAGGAAAGUGUGUCCGGCCAAAUGGGAUCGAGCGUGUUGGGUUAGGUGGUGCACCCCUGCAGGGAAGUUUAUCUAUUCGAAUAGCCAUGUCCCUCAGUAAAAGGAUGACCCGGAGUUGCACCUUGACCUUAUGACAACUAGAACCGGAUACUUAAUAAAACAUACCCUUCCAAGUGCCAGAUACAACCCGGUGAUCGCUCUCUCAUAGGUCGACGAGGAGAGGAUCAUCGGGUACGAUUAUGCUAUGCGAUGAUACUUGGUGAACUUACCAUCUACUCUCUUCUACAUGCUGCAAGAUGGAGGCUGCCAGAAGCGUAGUCUUCGACAAGACUAGCUAUCCCCCUCUUAUUCUGGCAUUCUGCAAUUCAGUCCACCGAUAUUGCCCUUUACACUGAUACCCAUGCAUAUGUAGUGUAGUUACUUGCUUGCGAGUACUUUGGAUGAGUACUCACGGUUGCUUUUCUCCCUCUUUUCUCCCUUUCCAUUCUUCUCGGUUGUCGCAACCAGAUGCUGGAGUCCAGGAGCCAGAGGAUCCCGAGGAUGAUUCUACGUGGAGUUCGGCUUCAUGGAGUAGUUAGGAGGUCCCGGGAAGGAGGCCUCACCUUUUCGAUCGUUUCUACUUUUGUGCUAGCCUUCUUAAGGCAAACUUGUUUAACUUAUGUCUGUACUCAGAUAUUGUUGCUCCCGCUGACUCGUCUAUGAUCGAGCACUUGUAUUCGAGCCCUCGAGGCCCUGGCUUGAAUUAUGAUGCUUGUAUGACGUAUUUUAUUUUAGAGUUGUGUUGUGAUAUCUUCCCGUGAGUCCCUGAUCCUGAUCGUACACAUUUGCGUGUAUGAUUAGUGUACAAUUGAAGCGGGGGCGUCACAAGUUGGUAUCAGAGCCGACUGCCUGUAGGAAUCCCCCUUCCACACUCCUUGCCGAAGUUGAGUCUAGUCUUUGAAAAGCUUUUACUAACAUGGAUGUGCGGCUUACGAGCCCACGUCGCCAUUGGGUGGUAUUAGGAUCUUUUACUCCUCGUGUAUACUCUGGGACUCUGAUCUCUCUUCUAUUCGGGUUAAAUGAAUUUUGCUAACUCUAACAUUAGGAUCUCGUGAUCACUACCACCCGGAGAGCCCUUUAUUACAGAUGAUCGCCCACUGCACCAGAAGAUUCCGAAGAUACUCUCUGAUGUUCUUUCGAGAACUUGUGCUCAUCGGGUUUGCAAUUCCCUACCACCGAGACAUCCCUAUGGAUAGCUACUUAUACUUGCCACCCAUACCUUCAUUCUCGAUUACUCUUGUUAGUACAAGACACCCUGAACUACUUCCCGCUAUUCCGAGAAUCCUUUGUGCUUAUUGCCUUGCAGCUCUUUUCUACACGAUUACACCUACGCAUAAUUCCUCACAUUUAUCGAGGAUUUGUUCAUCCCUAGUUCUUGUGUUUCACAAAAUUCUUCGGGAUACUAUUCGGUUUUCUGAAAAUCCUCAGGAGUCUAUUGCUUCUGAAUUCCUUGCCUUCCGGCACUAUGGUUAAUUCCAUAUUUCUAGCAAGCUCCAUUGACAUCCUUUGUCACUAUCAUUUCGAGUCCCUUGAUUCAAUAUUUUGCGAAUGCUCGCAAUCCUCAAUCAGAUCAUAGAAUUCAUCCUUCCGGCUCAGACGUCAUUUUAAACAUGAGCUGGUUCUCGACCAAUGAAAUUAUUGCUGAUUGUACCCCUAAGUCUACUCAACUUAUCCAUCCUUAAUCAGAGCGUUUGUUUCUGAGCCCUUAAUUUGGAAAUCAUAACUCCUUUGCAUUUGAGCUUGGAUUAGUCAGUUGUUUCGAUAAUCCGAUCUCCUUGCUUUUUUCUUCUUCUGGUUGAGUACCGAUGCUCACACCAGAUCCCUUAUGGACCACCAGAUCCUUAUUCGAUUUUAUCCGAUGACGUCCUUUAUAUUCAAUAACUCUGUGAGUCUUUUCUCGGAUACAUAAUGCCUUUGGUAAAUUGUAUCCUCUGCUUUGUCAAACAUGCUCUGCUUUCGAGCUUGUGUUAUUUACCCCUGAAGUUUGUGGUAUAUGUUCCUAAGAGGCCCCGAUGGGUUGAACCUAUGCCUUUUCUAAUCCGUGUGAACCCUGAAACUACUACGGGUCAUACUCUACUGGUGUUAUAUAUGUCAGAUAAAAUUUCAACACCACAACUUCGUUGAAGGCGAGAAGUGAAUGAAAGGUUAUGCAUUAAAGGAGUGGGAGUCGACCUUGAACUAUGUGUUCAUGCCCAUGGACACGAUGUAGAUCCUAUCAUGGAAGCUUCUUGUAAUAAUAACUAUUUCAUUGAUAACUAUCAUCUGGUAUCUGUGAAUAGAUCAUUUGCAACUAUGGUUCCGACCAUAUGUUCUUCUUUGAUCCCAUUUCACGGGCAAGUUUAAGCACUUGUCUUCUAUGGAUCAAUACACCAGUCCAACCUUUACUUUGACCUCUCGUCGAGUAUUACACCCUGGUAUCUCAAGAAUAUCAUGGAACUUCAUAACUUCUUAUGGGUUCUUCAUCAACUGUUAUUUCUCACCGGUUCCAAUUUUCUUGGGUUCUGGGUUGUCGUCAACCGAGAACACCGAAUAGUGAAUCGAGUCCGCACUCCGAUUCAAUAACUCUAAGUGAUUUUCGUUGCUUACGAGUUUAUUAACCCUUCAAGUCAUCCCAAGCCUGAUCGGCUAUAUCAUUAUCGUACUAAAUUUUAACUGUGCUACCUGGCCCUUCUCCCCGUAGCAAAAUUUUGGACGAUGAGCUAAGCUUACGUCCAUCUUCCUCGUCAUAUCAUUUCCCCUUGAACAACAAACUUGAUUUCGAGUUUGUGUCGUACCCUUGGUUCCAAUAACCUUUCGCUUCAUCAUUCCUGUGACUUGAUGUCAUCACCGGUUGGUUACAUCUUCAUGAAAUCUCUUAACAAAUGUGUCAUGAUCAUCAUCAGCAUUCUGAGAUCUUCUAGGAUAUUAAUUGAAUUCAUGAUGAGAAAUACCAUCCUUGCCCUCGAUGAAUUUUAUUAUCAUCGACCACUUUAUUGCCUUCCCACCAACACAGCUUGUUCGUGUUUGGUGUUAUACCUUGAGUUCCCUGCCAUCUAGCAAUUGUUCUUCUUUACUCGGAACAUUACCAUCUCUUAUGUCAUCAAUGUUGUGAGAAUUACACCACCUCUUAAGAAUUUGUGAUACAGUGAUGCUUCUCACCAUCACCAUUCUUUUCUUGGUCCCCGUGUUGAGUGAACUCUGUUGUGCAAAUUUAAUAUCUCUAGCAACCCUAUUGCUUCAGAGUUAUUGGACAAUAAUUCCAAUUUAGUGUGUUGGUUGCUCAAUCGCCAUUCCGACGUUGGGCGUGCAACCCAACCCAUAUUUCGAGUGCACCUUUCAACCCAUGUUUAAUUGUGUAUGUUUUCCUCCAGCAUACAUCAUUAAGUCAUUUGAUCUGGCUAAUGUUAUCUCCUUGUUCACAUAGUUGUGGAAAUCCAUCCUUUUUGGAAAUGUCAAUGGAUUGUCGCUGAGUCAAUCAGUCACCUCCUCACCUCUCCUUGAUUUAAUGAUGAACUCUUGUUUCGGAACUCGUUUCCAUGGUUUAAUUCCCGAGAAUCAUACAAUGUCACCUCGAUAAUUUGUGUUGCACCUUUCUUCUCAGGCAUCCUGAGUCUAAGGUAUCUUGACACCAAUCAGAUCUGAAUCUCGGUCAGAUAUGAAGGUUGGAACAUAUUUUCAAGAGUUAUAACAUUGGUCCCUAUAUGCCCCGGUAAGGUGAUGUCAUGCCUAGCACGCCUGACCAAAGGACCUAGUGUUAUAGUUUCCUUUUUAACAAGGUUAAUCAUUUUUCCAUGAGGAAAUUGAAUGCCUUGUUUAAUAAGUUUAUCCUGAUGGAUCCUUUGUGUAUCCAAAGCCUGAUUUUUGCUUGAAGACCAUGUCAAUGCUAUCCCGAAGCAUGUCUGUGGUACUCCAAUUUUCAAUAAGAGCAGUUGAAGCACAAUGCUAAAUUCUCUUUAUCAAUUAUCCAAACACCGUUGUAUGGGUAAUGUCAGGAAAUUUCUCUCCCCUACCUAAAUGGUUUUCUACUUUAUAUCCUGUCAUGGAUAUCAUGCUCUGCUUGCCCUUGGGAAGGAUAUACCCCUGAAAUAUGUGUUUAAACACAUUUUCCUUUCCAUUGUUCUGUUUAAUCUGAUAACCAUAUUUUCCUUUCCGUUGUUUGGUUUAACCUUUCUUGUGAUCUAUAUGAUCUAAGCAGUAACAAUUCACUGCUUAUGUAAACACCUCGGUGUACAACUCUGUCAGUAAGACCGUGUUACUAUUGUUGAUGACAUUCUGGUAGCCACCGAUGGACGAGAACUUUGCCUAAUGGUCUGCCUCGUUCAACGAGCAGGAAAAUGGUUCUCUUCGUCCCUCGCCCUUGGUACCAACGAUGCAGUCAACAUAACUGACCGGUUAUUCUUUGACAUGCCUUGCUAUCAUGACCGUGCCAGAUGUCAACGCCCUUCCUUAUUUUAACCCACAUGGUGGGCCCAUAACCCACAGUUCCACAGGAUCGAAACCUGACUCUCCUGUACACCCUGUUGCCAAAGUUAUUCCUUGAGCCUGGCUACGUAUGUAAUUGACGGGUCACCUUCCUAGUUUUCUAUUCUGGUAUCAGACGCGAUACUUAUUCUCGUGCCCUGAAACCCUUUCACCUUCUAAUUGGGCAUCGAACAAUUGCCUAUCCGCUUGAUACUUCUUACUACACCCUCUUGCUUGGCUCUCGAUGUGUUUCAUUUGAACAACUCGAGAGAUACCCCUGUGUUCAUUCAUGGGUAACCCCCAAUGGUUAACCCUUAUAGCAUUCUAUCAUUGUUGAACUGCCCCUUACCUAUUCGUAAGUACGAGACAGACCCCGAAGAAAGGAUGCGACUUCGUCAAGAUGACCUGAAGUAGAGAAAUGAAGACAUCAACGACAGGGAUCAACUUCUUCGCGAAGAGCAAGCCAGGAUGAGAAGACCCGCUAGAUUCAUAACCAAAACCUUUCCCCCUUUCACUACCUCUUAAAUCUCAGGACGAGAUUUCUUGUAGUGGAGGAGAAUUGUGACGCCUGGAUAAUUAGGCUACAGCAAUCCCCUGUUAAUGAUGCCACGUCACCAUAGUUACUGUUGAUAAUCCCGCGUUAGUUCAAAAACCAAUUCAAAUUCAAAAUUGAAUAAAAGGCAAACAUCAAAGUUUUCAAAAUAUUAAACUAAAAUGUCCGGAGUGUGCAAAUAAUUGCUUAGGUGUUUAUGGUGAAGGAACCGUGCUUUUAUAAAAGGCCUAAAUAUUUAAAAUGAAAUAAAACAGAAGAGAAAAUAAAUAAAAGAAAAGGAAAAAGGAAAAACA